GCUACAUAGUGGUUUU
rnacentral:sRNA from 1 species